rnacentral:lncRNA from 1 species
UCAUCACAUCUCCAUCCAAUCCAAUUCGAUUCGAUUCAAUUGUUUGUGAUUCUAAAACAGAAAUCUAGGGAUCAAAAAUUGAAAAUUGAAGAUGAAGACGAUCGGACGAACCCUGUAAUCGGGGCCGGUGAGGUAGAGAGCGAGGAGCUUGACGGCCUGGAGAGGCGUGGCGGCGGAGGCGUCGAUCUCAUUGAUGACGAGUUGGUAGCUGCCGAGGGCUAUGUAAGAGCGGAAGACGAGGCAGUCUCUCUCGACGGCGUCGUCUGGAGAGAGAUUGGGAAGCUCGCUGUUGUUAAUGGCGGCCUGGUAGGCGCCCAAGUAGAAGUUGUUGCGAAGAUUGAAGAGGUGGUCUGGUCCUGCUGCUACUGCUGCCAUUGUUUCGAUUUCGAUUUGCUCUGCUUUGCAGAUUGCAGUUACAGAUCUGAGAGAGAGGGUGGUGAACAAAGGCUAUAGAGGGCCGAUUAUUUUGAAGUUAUGAAAUUUAUGUUGAUGUAGAAAGAUUUAAUGGCCCAACCCAAAACUCACUUUUAAACCCAAUGUGUGUGAAAAGGGUGUUUCUAAAAUAUAUAAUUUUUUUUUUUUGGGAGAAAGAGAAAAUUAAGAAAGCUCAAUACAUUCAUCUUAAAAAUUCAGAGCACGAUUCCAUUUGAACUCUAACAAGUAGUUAUAUUCAUUAAGAAAUUUUAAUAAAGAUUAUCAUUUCCGAUUUACUUUUGAGUAACGAGUAAAACUCACGAUUCGUUUUCUUAUAUAAUUUUAAAGUAAACUCUGAAUACAUGCAAUUACUCACAAAUAAACUCGAUAAAUAUCAUGUUUACAAUUACAUUUUAAAGUGCAAUCAACGUAAUUAGGUAAAUGAUCAUUCGUUUGAAGAACUUUUACAUAUUAUGUCAAUCUCUCUCUCUCUUUCUUAAGUUUUUUGGGUUUAUGUAGCAAAAUCAUUCAAAUCAGCUAGUUUAGGUUGGUGAGUUAUUGGUGUGAAACUCUCCAGUCCCAGUACACAAAGCAAGAUAACUUCAGGGCACACAGAAUCAAAAGGCACUGUUAUGUUGUUUUCUUGGCAAAGCCUUCUUGGACAGCCAACUCCCAACUUUAGUGGUCAGGGAGGCAGGUAACAAGCUGAAGAAAUUCCAAAUGAACAAAAGCCAAAUUUUGGCACCUUAUUCAUCUUUUAUUUGCUCUUCCCUCUAAAUUUAGCAUGGAUUUUCUUGAAGAUAAUAUACUCAAGACUGUAAUUUUAAGAAAGUUCAUUUCAUUUCAUUUCAAGAGCAAACACACACUCACACAGCACAAGCAAUACAUUUGAUACAUUAAAAAAAGAGAGCUAUGGCAUCAACAUUGUCUAUUUUGUUUUAAGUAGUUUGACAAUGGACAACACUGUAAUAACCAGCAGGAGGAGGAGCCCCACGUAGGAAGCAAUGAGGGCACCGCCGCCGUGGUCGCAGAACUUGUGGAACUUGUCACAUAUUUUGUUCCACCUCGCAUGCGAAUUACCGUUCUUCCCUAGCUGUGCCAUGAAGGUUGCUGCACCAUCACCUGAAGAUGCCAGGGACACAGUCAUCUGCAUAAUACAAAUUAGAUUAGUAUUCGGAUUAAGCUCUUAAUGUUGCUUUACAUAAAAGUUUUAAGUGAAGAAAAGAAGUUUGGCUACUAUUGAGAUCAAGAAUAGAAAUGGGAGGUGCGAGUUUUGAUAUAAUACCACGUCUAAAAUGGCCACCAUCACCAGGCGAAGGGCUUUGUCCUUGAACUUGUCUCCAAAGAAGUGCACUGUGAUCAUGGAGAGGUUAUGAAGGCUGGCCAUCCCAUUAGCUAUCACAAAGAACCUGUAUCAACGAAUCAAAUUUUUUUUUUUCAUUUCGGUUUGUUUUUAGUCAGAUAAAACACAAACUCUCUCAUAAACAAUGACCAACUUAGUUAUAAUUCAUGAGGAGAAAGAAAAUGAGAGAGUACUGCUGAGGCUUACACAUUUGCUGGAUUGUGUUGAAACUUGGCUGUGAGGGUGGCUCUAACUGGGGUUGUCCCAAUGGUGGCAACCACCAAGGACUUGGUCUCUUUGUUGAGCGCCAUUACAACAGUUGCAGAGGCUGUGGCCAAAAAUGCCACCACCCUCAGUAUGACAAUGGUCCAAUCCGUCGGCUUUGUCACCGCCACAAAAGCUGACGCAUCCUGUGGUUUCUCCCCAUUUUCUAUAGCCAUGGUUGAAUGAGUGGCAGAGAGAAGUGAAUAUUUUGUUGCUGCUAGAUAGAGGGGCUUCUUAUAGUGUUUAGAGGAAGGUGGAUAGACCAACAAAAUCAGUUGUUAAGUCUAAGAAGCCAAGUGAAGCAUAUAUCUAGUUUCUUUGAGUUGUCUAACUAUCCACUAACUUUUGGUAUGUAGGUGUAGGUAGUUUGGAAUUUUUUUUUUUUUUUUUUUUUGCCCUCAGUUUGGAAAACUUUUUAACCCUAAACUGCAGAUCCAUUGGGCCAACAAAUUUACCAACCUUAGUUUAAUCUUGUUCCUGCGCAUAGACAUCGCCAAUUUUGACAAUAUUCACUUUGAGCUCCUAUUUCCUUCAAUUAUUAUUGGUAGGGUGUUGUUAAAUCCUAAAAUUAAUCGAGCACAACAUAUUAUUAAAUUAUUUAUUUAAUAUAAAAUGGUAAAAUAAUAAUAAUAAUUUGUGAAAUAAAUAUAAUUUUAAUAAGUACACCAUAUUCACCAUAUUCAACUCUAAUCAAAUCAAUCAUUCGAUGAAUUAGCAAUUCAGAAGGCAAGAACAAAAUAAAGUUAAAUUCGUCUCAAGGACAACAGAUGGGACGUUAAUAUUAACCUUAAGCUCAUGGCUUUUGGUACUCCUCAAUUAAUGAGGACAUGCAUCAACUAAGUCGGCAGCUGUUAGACAACUACAGUGUAAUGCAUCAAGGCAACCACCAAUGGACGAAUCAUGUUCUCCGGACCACAUUAAUGCCGAGAAGUUUGCAACACCCGUCUAUAUGUGAUAUCUAGCACAUCAAAUCAUGCCCAUUAGCAGCAGUUACGCAUCUAAAUUCAUUUCUCUUCUGUUUCAUGCAUGAUCAUGAACUUGAAGCCCUUCUGAAUACUACAGCCCAAUUCUUGAAUAAAUUUGGUGUUGUGUGAGUGUAUUAAAGUGUACCAACGAUAUUUUUGAUAGCAAAAUAGAGUGUACUUAUUUAAUUUAAUUUUUUAAUUAAAAUAUUAAGAUGUACUUAAAUCAUAAGGUACACUCAAUUAAUUUUAUGAUUCUUUUAACACCACCCGUAUUAUUGUUAUUAUCCUUCUAGUUUAUAAAUUGUUACUGCUACUUGAUAAUUAAUACUUUAAUCAAUGCAAGAUCAAAACGUUCAUCAAAGCUCCAAGUUGAGUAGUUUUGUAGUUUGAAAAAACAUAUAUAGGUCAGCUCAUGAGCAACCAACCACCACGGGAACUCGAUUUACUGCCGAUCAAUCGAAUAGGUUUAAAAUUGAAUAGAAGAGAUAGUCCGAGCACUAUAAAUAACAACAAUUAAACAAAAUAAAUUGUUUAAAUACAAAACAAAUGUUUGACAAUUGGAUUUGUAGUUUGAAAAGUAGUUUGAAAUCAUAUAUACUUUUAUGUGCAGUCACUCAACUUGAACACGCGGGUGAUACAGCAAUUACAAGAAUGAUAUAGGAAUGUCCUCUCCAAUUCAAGUCUCUUUAAUAGUACAUGAUACAUUUAUCUGACGCCUCAUAUGUGAAAUCAUUUCUCGCACAGGUGUUUAUGAACAACUCCAAUAAAAUAUACACCAAUUUUGAUGUCUAUCUUCCAAGUAAUGUGUAAUAAGGACAGAAUCCCGCUGUAUUAUUUUUUCCCAGUUGUGACACCAACGACGACAUUGCUCACCUGUGAGGUUAAGAGUUUUAUCAUCAGCAGAUGUUUGGUUGGUCAAUAAGAGAAAAAAAGAAAGAAGGGAAUUUACAGGGAAAACAAAGGCAUGUGAAAGGAUGUAUAAUUGAACAAACUUACCAAUUUGCCACUUUCAUCAACAGACAUAGGGUUCUCAACCACAACGGUCUGGCUCUGAGAAUGGGGAAAAUAACAAGAGAGAUAUUCAACAGAUUCACUAAGCAUCAAAUGUCACUACCACAAACGUGGUCUCAUCUGGGAAAUAUAAAUGGUAUGCUUUUAAGAACUUACUGCGGAAGUAGAGGGCGCCGUUCCUGAAUUGGCUGUCCCAUUAGGUCUGUGCACUGGAAUUGGAACCCUCAUAUUGGUCAUCUGUAAAAUGUUCAAAAACCAGAGAGAGAUAAAGAUCGAGAGAGAGAUCAGGAGAGAGAGAGAUAGACACACACACACAGAGACACACACACACACACAGACAAUGUCUGUUAACAUCAGUUAUAUUGCACCCAUGUGUUAUAUUGACAUAAAUCAUUGAGUAACAGUGAUAUGCCAAAGGUUCAAAAGACUCAUCUAUACUUACACCAACAUUAGUUACAUAGUGACAGACUGCACAUUUGACUGAAGGAGCUCCAUAUGGAUACAUAAGUGUUGUCCGGCAGUUUCCACAGUUGACGUGGGCAACCUGACUGGAUGCUUUUUCACAAUAAUAAAACCCACAGGAGAGGAGAAAUCAAUAACAGCUUGAUGAAGUAAAACAGUAAUCCAACAUAGAAGAAACUUAAAGCUCUACAUUUGCAAUCAUAAAAUAUUCUAAUUACUAUCAAUUUUCUAAGAUCUUACUGAAUAAAACCAAAGACAAGUUCAGUAAUUGGUUUACAAAACAACAGAAAUCUCAAGCUCUGUUGUUGACAGAAAAAGUUGCUGCCAAGUGUGCUUCUAAACCAAACAUGAAAGCAAAAUUAACAGCAAUGCUGUAGAAAGGGAAUUCUCCCUCAAGAUCUUUCAUUUAAUAAAAAAGUUUAUAUGAAACCAAUUAUUCUUUACAAAUGACUAGUCUGUACUCAGAAGGUAGGUGGGACAUCCUUUCUUCAAAUUUACAAUCUUACAAUUUUUCUCUAUCCAUUAUGUUAAACUGUAAAGUUUCCAAAAGUGAGCUAGAUAUAAUCCAGAACCUUCCAAACAGAAGUAUACAACAUUGCAGAAACGGAUCCACAAUCACACAUGCAUGGGCAUGCACAGACACAAUGCUGAACUCCUCUGCAGUAUCUAUCAUGUGAAUGCCGGUCACUACCCAAAGAUUGUUUACUAAGGAAAACAUUAAGGCUGCAUGAUCACCUUCUACUAUGUUGCAGAUUACAAGAGUGAACAAUUUACCUUUUUUUUUCUUUCCCUUUUUCAUUUUGUGACUUGAGGGGGAAGGGGGGUCACAAUGCCCUGACUUAACAAUUGAAACUUCAUAUUAUAUGCAAGAGAGCUUAUAUAGUACCUGGAGCAAGAUUCACAGUAUGACAGCAGGAGCACCUCACACUUGUUGCCCCACGUGUAUGCAUUAACAACGUCCUACAACCCCCACAAAUAAGUUGAGCCAUUUCUGUACCUGCAAGGUCAUUGCACAAAUUUUUUAACCAAACCUUAUGACUUUCCAAAUACAUACUUCUUAGGUUAAAUAAAUGUCUAAUGGUGAUAACACACAGCACAAUUAUCUUAGCCCUGACAUGUAUACUGACAGCCAAUGGAGGGUGCUCUCACAAUUAAUUUGUAUUGUUUACAACAUCCACUCUGAAAACCACCAUGCAUGGUAGCUUCCUUUAAUAUAAAAUGUUCAAAAUAAAUCCCAGUUCAGUAAGAGUUUUCAAUGAUAUGACGGUUCCCCAUUCAUAGCAAUUAUCCACACAUCAACCAUUGUAGAAUUUACACUGUUUAAAGUACAUAGAACAUCAAAUCUUGACAAAUGCUGAAGGCAAAAAUUAGCCACAAUGCUGGAUGCACAAUGCAUGAAAAGUGGCACGUACCAGUUAGGCUACUACCAGGACAAAUGCAACUCCUAAUCCAGAUUAAAGUUGAUCUUGAGCUUUUAUGUUUACGUAGUGUUUUUUAUAUUGACUUUAUAAGCAAAGAACUAUUACUUCGAUGCAUAAGUUUACUAGCCCUCUGACAAUUCCAGUAAAAAAAUUGCCCACAUGUUAGGUACCCACCACACAGAAUGACCAUUGAAACAAAGCACUUCAAAUGAUAACAACUACUCAACAAGAUUGCCCUCAGGAUACUCCACAACUGAGGACCUGCUGCCUGAGGGCGAAUUGAUGAGACUGAUUCUUAUCUUAAAGUCUUCUCUCCUUCACCCGUUUAAUUCUUAUUUCAACCCUUCAUCUUCUAACUAAGAAUCCUGAUAACUUUCUCUUCAACUUCUACAUUAUUUCCACAUAAUUUCUAUCUUCAGGCUGCAUCUGGUUUGGCCAUGCAUCAACACUUUAACAACCCCACUGAUCAAAGUUACUAUGGAAAAAAAAAACAAAAAAAAACAAAAUGAUCAUGUUUAUUCUCCAUUUGGUUUACCUUGGAUACAAAAACCAUGUGAUUGACACCAUUCACAAGCCAAUUCGUUUUAAUGUAACAAAUUUCAUGAAUAAUGAACAUGAACAUGAACAAGAAAAUAUUCACUUAACCAGUACCCACUAAGAAAAAGGAUAAGGAAAAGAGAUAUUACCAGGAGGAGGGACUGGGGUAAUUAUAUUGCAUAAUGCACAGCAAACAUUUGUAGCUCCUCUAGGAUAUAGAAGAAUGCUCCUACACCCACUACACACAAGCUGGCUCUGCAUACCUGCAACGUUUAGAAACACACAUACAAAAUGAGGCUUUACCAACAGAAUCAGACAUCAAUAGAGAAAACUAUAGCACUCCACAACUUAAAUGGCCAAUAUGCUAGACAGUGACAGAUUGCAGUCCAUUAGAAAUUCUGAAGAACUGAAAUGAACUUUGGAAAAAAAGAACCUGAAUACUUGAAAAUAUUUAUUCCCAAAUAGACUAAAUAACAAAAGCAAAAGAAGUAUUAAAGCUUAUGGCAAAAAUUCCUAAGCAUAUCCAAAAGACGUAUUCUUUACUUCCAAAAAAGAAAAUACGUAUUAAUAAAGAAAAUCACAGCAACAAGACUAAACUGUCUUCAUGAAACUCACAAGACUAAACUAACUUUCUUUAUGAAACACUAGACCUUAUUUUGUGAACACAAAUCAAUACUACUACGAGCCCAAACUAACUUUAUUCAUGAAACUCUGGCUCCUUGAAGUCUUCCCACAAUCCAACCAAACUUGAUAUUCUCAUGUCUUCGCACAUCCUAACAUUCACAAUAUCAACACUCAUAGAUAUGCUAACACUUCUGCGGGUGGAAAGGGUAUGAACCCCUAUACACAGAAUAAGGCCCACUUCCUCAAUGCAAAACAAUUACUUUAAAAAGUCAGGCCUUGGGACUGAAGUAAGCCAUUGUAUCAUUCAUGGGAACAAGAUAUAGGUAUAAAGAGAAAAAGCUAUUAAGUCAAACAAGCCUAACCAGAGGUGGGUAGAUAUAUCAAGGAGAAAAUACUUUGUGUUUCUAGACUACAAUAUACUGCUUCCAGAAUUUCCUGAUUUAAAACACAAGAUUGUAUUUCUUGCAGCACGUCAUAUAUUGUGCUUCAUUAUGAAAUUAAAGAAGACUACAUACAUUAAAAUUUAAAAGUACAAAGCCAACACCAAUAGGUGAUAGGUGCAGAUCAUCCCAUCUUUAGAAAUAAGCUAAGACAGUCACUGCCUCUGACAAGCAUUGAUUUAUAGGUUUAAAGGGUAAGUGCAUCAUAUAUUUUUGAAAAACAAAUUCCGUAAGUUAAGGUAAAAUUUAAUUAAAGGUGAAAACAGGUAAACAGGAAGCAUAAAAGAGAAACACCAAGAAUCAUGUCCAAAUAAACGCAAAAUUUCUUCAAGGCCACACAUUAAUACAAUGAAUCGCAUCAUCUCUUCAGCCAAAUAAAAGUGAAUCAUCGACAUUAACGGUCACACUAUAAGAAGAUCAAAACUGAAUAAGUUCUGACAAGUAAAGUCUUAAACUUUAUCAGGUUCACAGGAAGGGAAAAAUGUACUAAUUAAUCAGAGAUACAGGAUUCUCCAUCGUACUGUCCCAGUGACUCAGCCUUCUUGUUACUAGCAAUGGACCUCAGCUCAUCAGUUAACAAGCCAUGACGUCCCAAAACUACAAGAUCCAGAAGCUUUCUCCUUGCAUGAUAAACUGGAUUUGGGUGAAUCAAACACCCCCUCUCAUAAGCUUCUCUCAGAAAAACGGUGUGUCUCUUUCCCUUGGUCGACAAAUAAAACAUCCCAGGGUGAUCCAAGAACAAAUCCCUUAUAUUCAAAUCAAAGCCAAACCAUUUCCUGAAAUGGCUGAUUUUUUCCACUUCAACUGUCUUCUCUACUGUCAAAUUCAAGAAUUCAUGAACAGUUGCAACUGCCCGUUUCUCCACAGCCAUCAUUCCUGCCUUAGAUGACCUCUUCUUCUCAGACAACUCAUCAUAUGGUCCCACAUAUGGCAACCUCUGCCAUUCCUUAACCUUGGCCCUAAAAUUCUUUCUUAACCUCAUCCCUGGAGGAUACCCAUGUUUAAAACUAAACUGAAUUUCAGCCCUAUCGACAUUGCAACCCUCCUUGCAAAAUUCCUCUACCCUCCAGUUCUCAACCGCUGCAGUAAACUUUUCAGGAAUUACAUCAAACAGUUUCAAGUUGUGAGUAUUGGGCUCAUGAGCAUCACAAAGUUGAAAAAGAUGGGAGUUUCUGGAUAUUACAGAAUCCUCAAAAUCAUCAGGAAGCCCAAGUUCCCUGCCAACUUUCAAAAUGGCACGGAGUGGCAACAUCCUGGAACGAGACAUUGAUAGAAGUCGAACCAAUCGAUCAACAACAAGCGGCAACGAGGCAUUGAUGACCUCUGCUUCUUCUUUAGAAAUUUGAAUAGCAGCAUCAGUUAAUCUGCAGAAGGUCUGAGACUUCAUGGGAUCAUGGUAAAUGUGGAAAAUGUGAGGGUAUUUGCGGAGGAAGGCGACUGCACCACGGUUGAGAUGGAGCUUUUGAGAGAGCCUGGAGAGAAAAUCAAGGGAUACUGCAGGGUUGAUGGGGUUUGCUAGGAUGAGAUCUUGGACAGCAAUGACUUUGAGAAGGUUCUUGUACUUAUCCAUUAGUUUCUCAAACGUGGGAUCUCUGGCUCUUGAUGCUACAUACUGAGAUGAGGUUGUUUUCAACCGGACAGCCAAGAAAUGUUGAUGGGGCUGUUUCAUUAUCCAUCUGGUAAAUUGGGUUCCCAUCUAAACUCAAACAGAUAAUUUCUAUGUUUCUGACACAAUCAGCCUCCUAGAAUAUAGGCAUUAACUGAAGCAGAAACAUGUCAAGUCUUCAGCCAAACAAACGCAAACAUCGAUGAACAAGGCCGUUCUAUAUAAGAAGAUCAAAACCUGAAUAAGUUCUGGCAGGUAAAACCUCAAAACCUAAUACCGAGUCCCAAUACAAAACAUUGAGGAACUACAACCAUAAUAAUACAUUGAAAACACGCAAAAUAUGCAGCAAAUCCCUACUAACCAUUACAAGCAAUCAGGCAGCAACAAUUACAUUAACAAACCAAAUUCAAAUUAACAAUCUUUUUCAUGAAAGAGGUUAAAUUAUUUUCCUACGAUACCUGAUUUUGUUCAAAAAAUUCAAACUUCACGACCCCUCGCGCAACUGGAGCUGUAUUCGACGCAAUCGGAUUGCUGUCUCCAACCAAGAGCUUCAAUCAGACCAAGUCAACGACAUAUAGAUUAUGCAGCGAACAGGAAAUAAAAUUCAUAGAAAUGAAUACCUGAAGGCGCCCUAAGAACAGAAGCGAAGGCCGUGCAAAGGACCAAAAAUCACAACUUUUGGGGGGUUUUUUGGAAUCAGAUCGAAAACGAGGAAUUGGGUCUCAGAGCAAGAAACUGGGUUGUCUGGUUCUUCAGGAAAAUGAUAAGGAAGCGUCGAAGGAAAAAGGUUCUGGUCGUCGUUGUUGAAAUUCCUUUCUUGGUUUGAGAUUGUGUUGUAAUGGGUUGGGAAUAUGGGAGAUAUCGAAAUAAUUUUCAACGGACAACCUUAUUUUUUUAAUUUGUAAACUCGACAGCUCGUUUCUCUCUUGUUAAUCCUCUAGAGUGUGAAAUAGGAUCCGAAAACUCAUACACCAGAGCCUACUAUGGCUAAAAUAAAACCAUCCGGCGAUUUUUUUAUUUGUUUUAUUUUGUCCCAUAAAUAUUCGUACGUGUGCUUGACGAUUUUAUUUAUUCAACAAAAUUAAAUGUGCAAUGGGAUGGGAUCAUGGGACAUAGCCUAAUCUAAUGGAUAGAUAAAGUUUUUAAUACAAAUACAAUCGAUAGCGUAAACUACAAGAUGAGAGAUUUCUCACAUACACUAUUAGGAUUGAAGUUUUUAAAAAAAGUCAAUUUCUUUUAUUAAGUAGUUUUAAUUACAUUGAAUUUAUUCUCUAUAAUUUACAAACUGUUUCAAUCCCAGGGCAGCCAUUUGUAAAUUUUGGUCAAUUUCUUCACACAACACAUGGAUUUGACUUUAUGCAACGGUAAAAAUGUCAUUUCCCUCCGUACCAUACACAUAAAAUAAAAAAAUAAAAAAAUAAAAAAAUUACUACAUAAAAAUGUCAUUUCCCUCCGUACCAUACACCUAACCUUCAUCAUUUUCACAAACAUGUUGGGUUUAUUUGGUUGAACCUAAUAAACAACUCCAACUAAAAAGGGAAAAAACUUAUAAGAGCAUCUAUAAUGGACUUCCUAAAUCAUAUCUUUAGACAAAUUUUAGGAAAAAAAUGGAAAAAUACAAAUCCAACUAUUCUCCUUAUCCACCUCCUAAAAUAGAGAGAUUUUUAGGAGCUCCUAAAUCUGAGCAGAUAGAAAUGACUCUUAUAAAUUAAUGCUGCUUUAUUUUAUAAAUAUUUUAAAUCUUUAAUUAAUACUAACUAUUUUUAUAUUAUUUUUUUAAUAGAGGUGGACCAAUUAAAAAAGAGUUAUAGCAUUUAUGACUCCCUAAACUAAAGAGUAUGAUUGGAGUUAAAAUUUUAUAUAGAGCUCUUAAAAUAACUUUUAUACAUUUUAAACUAAAUUUUAACUAAAAAAUAACAAGCAUGAUUGUAGAUGACACAAUUGGGCCUCGUUGGGUUGGCUUCUUCAAUGGCUAAGAGUUCUCAUGUAGUCCAAAUCAACGAACAAUUGGGCCAUAAUUCAACAUUUCCAUAAAACUCAAUCAGAACCGAAUGGACAUUUCACUCAACUCAUUUUAUGUAAUAAAUAGAAUAAUAGAAAUUUAGUUUUUUCUUUUUUCUUUUUCUGUUACAGACAUUUAGUUAAAUUGAACCAAAUAAUUACAAGCAAAGCAAUUUUUUCUUUUUCUGUUACAGAAAUUUAGUUAUAUUGAAUUAAAGAAUUACAAGCAAAGAAAAUGUGACAGAUUGCAGUGUGGUCAUGCGUUUUUAGUACACAAGAUAUCUGAUUCAUUAUUUAGGUAAAUGUUGUUUGAUUCAUACCUUCCAAUAAGAUUGAAAUAAAUUAAUAACUGAAAAUCAAAACUUGUAGUUUUGCAUGAUCGGUAAAAUAAAAUUAACGUGACUUUGUCGGUCUCUAAUUAUAUGUGAUAAUGAAUUAUAUAGACAUAAAUACAGACACACAAAAACACAAGAUAUUGGAGGAAAUUAAAAAUAUUGGAAAAUUUUCUCUGUGACUGCAAUGUAAGCUACCAUUACAGACUGUGCCUAAUUAACUUCUAAUGGAGAGGGCUACCCACCAAUUGUAGUGUGAAAACCACUGUACAAAGUUUGAAUAAGAUCAAAUAGGAGACGAAUGUAGCUGGUUUGUUGAGAAUGUGUCACAUGGCACAAUUUUUAUUCACUGAAACAAGCAUAUACCAUACUAGUGACAAUUAUAACUCUUAUAGCUUGUUGAUUUCACGAGUUAUAUAUUACUUAUGUUAGUUUUAUUUUAUGUUGUCGUUAAUCAAUUCAUAUUUAAGGAUGGUUCAUGAUAAAAAUUGGAAUAAGUGAGCUUAAGCUACAUUCAGUAUAACUAGUUUGGUAAUAAACUUGUGAAUACAAACAUCAAGUGAGAGAGGUGUGUUUUCAGUUUAGUCAAGAUACUAAGUUAUUUUUAAUCUUAUAAAAGACUCUAUAACUUAUAUAAUGUGUUGAUUUUGGUACAUUAAUAUACAUGAAAAACAUUUCGUCUAUGUGAUAUUUUUGCAUUUUAUUGAAUGAAAGAGAGCUUGUGUUUAAAAAAAAAGAAAAAAAGAGAAGGGGAGCUUAUUUUGUAACUAUGUAAAUCAACAAUUUCUGAAUUAGACAUAUCUAAAUUAGUGCAAUUGUUUACCUUUUAUAUUCAUAAUGUGAAGAGAAGCAUAAAAAUGAUACAACGAUUGCUCCCAGUAAAUAAAAGUUAUCUCGCAGAAAGUUCUUGUGCAUUACAUAGAAAUUUUGCUCAUUAGCGGAUUUUACUAGAAUCUGUGUGUAUUGCAAAACAUCUCAACUGACAUUGACAGUCGGUCUCGGAUUCGAGUUUGUUUCCAAGUCAAAACUCAAAUUGUGGGCCUAGAAGAAAAAGAUGAGAGAGUGUGCUAAACCCAAAUUUAAGUUUCGACCCAACCAUCUCCAAUAGAAUUUAGACUCAAAACCCAAAAAUGUGCAUUGGAGAGAAUUUGGGCCACCAUUUUUGGACCCAAAUAUGUGAAUUGUCAAAUAUCCUGAUUCUUUGACCUAAAAAGAAAAAAAGAAAGAAGAACUGACACAAAUGUACAAAAAGAGCAUCCUGAUUCUAUCAUAAAAUUCAUAUAUCUUAGCCCUCACUUAUAUAAGAAUGCCAAAACUUUCAUAAAUCCAAUCUUUCAUCCUAAAAAAUUUACAAAAAAAAAAAGAACUUGGGUCUCUUAUUUUUAUGAGCGACCGAGAAACUUAUGUCAUAAAUAUUGCGUACAAUUGUAUUUCCGUAAAUAAAAAUUACAAAUGUUAAAAGAUUUUAUAUGAGAGACCAUAUGAAACGUAAACAAGAUAUGAAAUAUCAAAAAAGUCCUUAUCAUACCUAAAGCGUGUGUCAAGAAACUAAUUAUUAUUAUUUUUUUCAAAGACAUACUUAAAAAUUAUAAAUAAAAAAAAUUAAAAAGAAGCAAAAGAGAAGAGAAUUGUGAGAUGGGCCCACUUAGCUUGUAUAACUUACAAACAAGUUAUUGUGCGGUUGGUUGAGCUAUGGAGCGCUGGACUCACCGCUUUCCGUUAAAACUGCGUGCGUUUGAGCGGGUUGACCCUCUCUCUCGUCCCCUCCUUCUAAAUAUUUAUUUCAUAAAUUACAUAAGAAAAAUAAGAAAUUUCCUUGUUCUUUUCCUUUUCCAUUUCCUAGUAGCAUUAGAUCCAAUUUCCUCGUUCAAGCAGGAAAACUUAAUUCCAAUUUCCACCUCAUUUCCUUGUUCUCUUAUAUUAUAUAUAUAUAUUUCUUCCUAUUAUUACCCAUAAUAAAGAGGCCAAAUAAAUAUCUAAAAUACCAACAUUUAUUGUGAAUAUUAGUAUUUAGAGGAGAGGAGAGAAGAGGAGAGGGUUGCAUAUAUUUAAGUUCACCUAUUGCCUACACAUCAAGUCAUCACCUUACCUGGAAUCUUAGGCGUGUUCUUAAGGUACCCUUCUGAAUUUUCAAUCCACUUUUUGCCAUAUUUUAAUAUUCAAUAUUUAAUUCCUGCAAAACUAUGUCUUGGGUUUUUGUAUGCUUUCAUCCUCAUUGUUGUUAGACUAUGCAAUUCUUUUUCACUUUGAUUGAAUUUCCAAAUAUUUUUCUGUUUACCAAGUCAAUUCUUUGGCUUUAAUAGGAAACAAAACUGAAUAGGGUUGAAUUUUUUAGCGUGUGGAAAAUAAUUUACCAAAAUUGUAAGAAUUUAGGCCUGGUUAGAUACAUGCAAUUGGGUUUUCGUUUUUGGUUAAGUGCAAUUGGGUUUGGUUUGAUCAGAAAGUAGAAAGAAAAUGUUUCUGGGGAAUGCCUUUGCUGCUUUGGUGAAUUAGGUAUACAUAAUUUGCAUUCUUUGGUUAAGUUUGUUUGGUUACGCAGAAGUGGGAAAUUUGCCUGUGGUGAUUGGCUUUGUAUUGAUUUUGAUAGGUUAGUAAAAGGGUUUUCUUUUGCAGAUAUCGUUGGUUAGACAUGCUUUCACAACAAUUUCAGUCAAUGGAACAGUUGAAAUUAGCGGCAGAAUCUCAGCAAAAAGAGGUUGGAUUUCUAAUCCCUUCUGUUGUAUUUGUUCCAUGAUGUCAUCUAUCUGUGGUGGUGACUAUCACUUUCAGGCCAAAAAGAAAAGAUUUUAUAGUUUUUGUUCAUAUUUUCUAAACCAUAUGUUUUGUUGACUCGCAAGAAAUUGCAGAUCUGUGUUAUCCGUUUCUUAUCUAUUGUAAAAGAAUAUGUUUAGCUAUACAAACUCUGUUUUUUCUUUUUCUUCCAACUUUUGUCCAUCAUCGAUUGCUUUGAGAACGUUGAUCAACCUUCUGUUAUAACCUUGCCUUCUGCGUAAUAUCCUGCUUCCACCCCUGUGGUUUCUGCAUGAUGGGAAGUUGCAUCAGUUUGAAACUUAGAGAAUGCUACUCUAGGUAGAGAAAUUUAGAGUAGAAAAGAUUUUAAAUAGAUAUUUUGACUCUUAAAGGAUCAUUCAUAUUACAAUGUUAUUUUUCUUAACUGAAUGCCUUGGUCUUUUAAGGAAUUUAAAUUUAAGCCUUCAAGUAUUUUUAUUCUUACGGACAAUGCAUUGCAGGAUCAUUCUUUUAAGGGCAACCAGAGAAGUGAUGACGCACAUGAGUGCUCAGGCAGUCCUCGAAGUCGAAAGGUACCGAACGUUUUUAUUAUUAGUUGUUAUGUUGGGUAAUUGAUGGACUAUGCAUAACUCACUAAAAGUCAGUUAGGGUAGUCUUUUCAUAGCUUUAUGAAGUACAUCCAAUUUGUUUUAUCAAAUUAAAAAGGAAUACACCACUUCAUACCGUGGACCCAUAUGCAUAUAUGAAUAAAUUUUUUCCCUCUGGUUGGAAAAUAAAAUUGGAAGAAACACUUGUGUCAUCAAAUCCUAGAUUUUCUGCAUUUUGAGUGUUAAGAAUGACCAACAUCAAAUUAGGAUAUUAAUUUUCUUUGUUCACUCAUUUGAAUUGCUUUUGUAAGAAAUGGAUUCAUGUGCUUAAAUGGAACAUAUGGUCCUUUGUGUUACAGAUAUCAGCUAGAUGGGAUCCGGAUGAACCAUGCAGGCCUGCCAUUGAUGAAGCACCUGUAUUUUAUCCAACUAUUGAGGUAUUCAUUCAUUUUUCUAUUGUGGAUAGUAGGAUUUUUUUUUUAUAAAAAAUAAAUGGACUCUUUGUAUUUAUUUAUUCAAUUUCAUGUGUUGCCCUCGUCUAUUAGGAGUUUGAAGAUACACUUGGUUACAUAGCAAAGAUACGCCUAGUGGCUGAAUCUUAUGGUAUAUGUCGGAUUGUCCCGCCACCUUCCUGGACCCCUCCCUGCCCUCUUAAGGAUAAAGAGAUGUGGGAGCAUGCUAAAUUUUCCACACGUAUUCAGCAAGUUGACUUGCUUCAAAACAGAGAAGCCAUGAAAAAGAAAAGUAGAGGUCGGAAGCGAAAACGAAGAAGGCACUCAAGAAUGGGAACCAAAAGACGUUCAGAAGCUAAUGUUGCGUCCGAGACUGAUGAGAAGUUUGGGUUCCAUUCAGGAUCAGACUUUACAUUUGAAGAGUUUCAGAGAUAUGCCUAUACUUUCAAGGAGAGUUACUUCAGAUCAAAGGAUGCUAAGGAGGGUUCAAAUUCUGUUGAAACUAGAAGCAAAAUAUGGAAACCCUCUGUGGAAGAUAUUGAAGGUGAAUACUGGCGAAUAGUUGAGCAACCAACAGACGAGGUUGAGGUAUGUAACUAAGGUUUUUCAGUGCCUUUAACUGACUUUAUGAUUAUGGAAUGCACUCUUAUCUUAUAAAUGGUGGAUGCCUUUUUCUUUCAUAUUUCAGGUUUACUAUGGAGCUGACUUGGAAACAGGAGUAUUUGGAAGUGGGUUUCCUAAGGCAUCGUCUAUGGUAACCGAAGGUGAUUCGGAUCAGUAUGCAAUGUCUGGUUGGAAUCUAAAUAAUUUCCCACGCCUUCCCGGUUCUGUACUGUCUUUUGAAGCAAGCGACAUCUCAGGAGUUCUAGUCCCAUGGCUUUAUGUUGGGAUGUGCUUUUCUUCAUUUUGUUGGGUAUGUCAUGCUAUCAACAUGGUCAAAACAUGACCCUCCAAUUUUUUUCAUUGCUUCCAUAUUAGACAAAAAGAAAGCAUUAUCUUUGGGCUUACUGUUAUGCUUAAUUGCUCUUUUUUUUUUUUUUUUUUUUUUUGUGUGGUUUGUAACAGCAUGUUGAGGACCACCACCUCUAUUCCCUAAAUUAUCUGCACUGGGGUGACCCAAAAGUAUGGUAUGGAGUGUCUGGAAGUCGUGCUCAAUCUUUGGAACGUGCAAUGAGAAAGCAUUUGCCGGAUUUAUUCGAGGAACAACCUGAUUUACUCAAUGAACUGGUAAGAAGAAAGGUUCUAUCCACAACUUUUUUGUCAACCUAUGCAAUAAUUUAUUGCGAUUGUUGUUUUGUUUUUUUUAAAUCACACACCAAUUGAUGAAAUAAAUAUUUUACGUUGUUAUAUUUUUUUGGCUUCACUCUGGUUUUCAAUUUAACUUGUGGUAAUAAAUGGUUGUUAAAAUUAGCUAAGGCAUUAGAAUAAAGUAAUGUGAAGUCCUUUCUAAGCAGUAGAAGAAGUGUCAUAAGGAAAUCUGCAAAUAUAUUUGUUUGGCCAACAGGUUGUAGCACACUAAUUGGUAUAUAGGUGCAAGAGUCAAACCUAUCUGUGAAUAUUUAGGUACUGACCAAUGGUUUUCUGGCACCACUAGACACACACACACACAUAUAACAAAAUACUACAGCCUAUCAUUUUUGUUAAGGUAGUGGACAUUAAGAGUAGAGUUGCUUUUGUAAAGCAGCCUAAUGUUAAAUUUAAUUAUUGUCCUAGUCUGAUAAGACUCUGAAUUAUGUUAUCAUGGAUUGAUAUAUCUGAUCUCAUUCCUUCCCUAUUUUUGUUCUGUCUUUAUCCUGGUGAUAUCAUUUAUCAGUUUCGAUCACUUCCCUGCACAUGUCUGCCCACGUCACUGGGCUUCUGACAUCCUUUGUUUCAACUUUGCUUUUAAAUUUUUUGUGAGUAUCUCAGACACUAAGAUUACAGCUUUCAUGGGUCAGGUCACUCAGCUAUCUCCUUCAGUUUUAAAGUCUGAAGGUGUACCUGUGUAUCGAGCUGUCCAACAUUCUGGGGAGUUUAUUCUUACCUUUCCGAGGGCAUACCAUUCUGGAUUUAAUUGUGGCUUUAACUGCGCCGAGGCAGUGAACGUGGCCCCUGUCGAUUGGUUAGAACAUGGGCAAAAUGCAGUUGAGCUAUACAGUGAGCAGUGUCGCAAGACAUCAAUCUCACACGACAAAUUGUUACUGGGAUCGGCACAGGAAGCUGUACAGGCUCUUUGGGAGCUAUCAGUUCUUGGAAAGAAAACUACAAGAAAUUUGAGCUGGCAAAAUGUUUGUGGCAAAGGUGGUGUCCUCACCAAAGCAGUUAAGGUAAAUCUCUCUCUCUCUCUCUCUAAAAAUAUAUAUAUAUAUAUAUAUGUAUAUAAUAUCUAUCUGUCUAUCUCUAUCUCUUUUACCUCUCCCUUUCUACCACUUAGCCUAGAAAUAGCUACAUGAACUCUGGCAUGCUUGUGCCCUUAUGAGUAGAUAAACUAAACCAUAUUUUGUAUGACAAUGACUGUUCACAGACACGAGUGCAAAUGGAGGAGGAAAGACUAGAUCGUCUUCCAAUUUGUUUGAAGUUGCAAAAGAUGGAAAGAGACUUUGAUUUGAACGAGAGAGAAUGUUUUUCUUGCUUCUAUGACUUACACUUAUCUGCUGCCAGCUGCAAAUGCUCUCCUGAUCGAUUUUCAUGUCUCAAACAUGCAAAGCAUUUUUGUUCAUGUGACAUCAGUCAUAAAUAUGUCCUUCAACGCCACACUAUCAGUGAAUUAAAUAUGCUGGUUGAAGCAUUGGAAGGGAGAGUAGAAGCCAUGAAAGUAUGGGCAUCCAAGGACCCUGUAGUAGUUUCUAUAGACGGUACUGAUUGGCGUACCACUAAGUUGGAUCAAGAAAGUAGCAUGUCUCAUAAGAGAGUCAAGUCUUGUAAUCCAAGGGAAACUUCAUCUUGUUGUCCUGUUUCGGAAGAGAAGGUCAACAUAAAUGCAUCUUGCAGUUCGUCUAGUCAAGUUUCUUCUGCGGUUGUCCAGUCAGGGUCACAGCAUGGAGCUUUUAGUUUAAGUGCAUCUCGCAUCACUAUGGAUAGGCAAAAUGACGAUGAAACUCUGGCCAUGAAUGAUGAGGAAAAGAUGGGGAAUGAGUGCUGUUUUGAUUUAAAUCUUAAUUAUAUGUCUGAUGAACGUGAAAGCAGGACGAUGCACAUAUCUGAUGACUUUGAUAACAAGGCUGUCACAAUUGAGGAGGAUGCAUCUACUUCCGUGUCUAAUCAAGAGAAAGUUUGUAGUUCAGAUGUAGCCAGAGACCCAGACAUGAUGAAAGUUGAUAAUGGCUACCCUGCCUGUUCAAGGGACAUCAGGAAUAGUUGUGCGAGUGAUGGCAAUAAGCUGUUCGGUGUUGAACUUUGCUUACCCCAUCCUUCUUCAAACAAACAGUCAAUAAACUUUUCAAAAACUGAAAUUGUCAAGGAUUCAGGUGUAAACAUAUCCUUGACUGACCAAAGCUGUCAAUUACAGAAGUUGAGUCCUUCGGUUGAGCCUAUAGAUUUUGGAGCUGUUGUGUCUGGAAAGUUGUGGUGCAGUAAGCAGGCCAUAUAUCCAAAAGGUAUAUUGGCUGUAGUGCAAUGGUUUCUUGGAUUCUAAAUUUUUUCCUCUCCUUUCCUUUCUUGUGUGGAAUCCUUUUAACUUUUUUUCUCUACAUAAUGGUUACCUUACCUUUUGCAGGGUAUAAAAGCCGAGUUAAAUUCUGUAGUGUGCUUGACCCAACAAAAGUUUGUAGCUAUAUUUCAGAAGUUCUCGCUGCUGGGCUUCUCGGGCCUCUAUUUAAGGUUUGUCUCUCUCAACCUCCAAAAUAUAAUAAAAUCAAAGAUUGGGGGAAUCUAAAUUUCAGAGCUACAGCUGAUUAUUAUUUCUUCGAAUAUUUUUCAUAUCAUUUCUAUACGAUUUGGGUCCAGUAAAACCAUCUUUUCUUUUUAAAACUUUUCUCUAUUGCACAACAUGUUUAGCCAUUUCUUCUUUGCAAUUGCAUUGAAUUCCACAGUUUAUUACUGUACUAAACUAGUGAGCAUAAAAUACGAUUAUACUUCUAAAGAAAGGCUCUAUAAAAUUAUUCAUUUUAUUUAGCUUGUGCAUUUUUCAGUGGUUUCCUUUCAUGAAUUUCAGGUUACUUUGGAAGAAUGCCCUGGUGAGGCUUUUGCUAAUGUAUCGGCCGAGAAGUGCUGGGAUAUGGUACUGCAGAGACUAAACCAAGAAAUAAAGAGACGGAGUAGUCUAGGGGAAAGUGGACUGCCUUCUUUGCAGCCUAGCAUUAAUGGCCUUGAAAUGUUUGGAUUUCUCUCCCAACCCAUUAUUGAGGUACAGUAACUUAUAUUAUUUUCUCCUCUCCCUGUAGCAAGCAGAAAGCUAUGUUGUUUCUGUCAUUAUUUUUUUUGUGUGCCUAAGAAAAUAAAUUAUACAACUUAAAAAGUAUUGUAUGAUCAUGAGAUAGACGGUGAGAAAUAUGCAUAGGAAAAACCUAAAUGCUGAGCUUUUACUGGGCAUGCUAAUUGCCUUGGCACAAAACUAUAUUCUCUGUUUUGGUGUGUGAUUGAUGAUGAACAAAAAAGAAUUUGUGCUCCAUUCUCAAAAAUAAAAAUUCAAUCCAGUAUCUAAUUCGGAUUUUAUUCCUCCCAGGCUAUUGAGGCCCUCGAUCCCGACCAUCAAUGUGUGGAGUACUGGAAUUACAGGCGUAUUGUCCCAUUGGCGUUUGGCAAUGUUAGUGAAAUCAAGCAGCAUUCGUUUGAAUCAAGUAGAAGUCUAGGAGAAACAGAUAUGAAAAUUUUUGGUAUUACUUUGACAAGGCAGGACCGGGAUAAUCCAUUGGUGGAAGGAGAUCAUCCAACCGAAGAGAUGCAGUUAGUGUUGCGAAGACUAUUAAAGAAGGCAGAUUCCGAAGAGUUGAGGACAUUACAGAGAGUAUUGUGCAGUGAGUCACAAAGUUCAAAAUGGAGAGUGGCAUUCACAUCAUUGAUUGAAGAGAUCCAGAGAAAUGUAGAUAGUUAAGGAAAAGUAAUGAUAGGUCCCCUCAUUCUUUCUCAUUCAAGGUAGCUUCUUUUCCUAUUUAGUCAUUCUUUAGGCCUAUUCUUUGCUAAAAAAAAUCCAUAACAGGGAAAGAGAGGGAUUCUGGGUCUUGAGUUGGGCACAAAAUUUUGUAAUGUGGCUACUCGUGACUGAAUCUAGAGUUUUGAUUUGGUGAGGCCAAUGCCUUCAAUCGGUCACAGAAAGUCUUUCGGUUCAUCAGAAAUUUUAAUUGGUGAUAGGAUCUGGUCUUAAUCAGCUAAUUUUUCUGAUCUUAUUUCAUUAAUCAUUGAAAAAUAAGUGUACACAAUAAAAGUGCUGUUUCAUAUCUUUCAAUUGAAUGCUUGAAUUAACUGAUAACAUGCAACUCUUUUUUUCUUCCUAUGUUUUGUUUUGCAGAAACGAGAAGGGUGAUUGAAAAGGAUUGCCAAUAGAAGCAUUAAAAAAGAACUACAUUUCUCACCAUAUAACCCUCUGAUUUUCUUUCUAUUAAAAAAACCCUUACCGAUCUGAAAAAAACAAAAAUCCAUAAUUACAUUCCGAAUUUUCUUUGAAGAAAAGAGAGGGAUGGAAUCGCACUUGAUUUAAUUGAAGGAGGAAACAAAUGUAUCAUUGAGGACAUAGCUAAGUUGCAUUCAUAAGCAAAGAAUACAAUAAGAACACCAUUGCAUGGUGAGAUCAGAAUUACAGCAAAAUGCACAAUUUUGGAACAAGAAAUUGAUGAACAUCAACACAAAACUCACACAAUUAACAAAUUGUAGUAGCCGCAAAAGAAUCCUAAAUCCCAAUUAAUCUUGAUAAAGAAGUCAAGAUCAUCCUCAUCAAGAUGAUGUGCCAAAUGUGCGAGAACCCCAUCCGAUAAUGAGAAUUAGCAGAGACGAUCUUCAACUACCAAGCCUAGUAGUUCCUCUGAAUCUUGAACCCCAAAACCGCACAAGCAACCAAGAACCAACCAACCGGAAACUCAACACAAUGGCACGGCGGCGCUGCAUCAGACCUCCACCCGCCGCCCACGAUUUCUCCCGCGGGGGAAAACAACCCUGGAGAUGGCGUCGGCGGAGGCGGCGGUAGAGGCUGCUGCUGCCCCUGCUGCGAAUUGGGCUUGGGCAAAAGGUUAAACCCAUCACCGUAAACAGAGUACUCAAGAAUGGCUCCGACGCCGUGGACAGCCACGGUGGCGCUGAUGUAGAGGUCGGGCUGGGUGAGAGGAGCGCCGUCGAGGGAGAAGUUGGAGCGGGAGGCGUUGGUGAUGAGAAUGGACUUGCCGGGGAGCAGAGUGGGAAGGCGAGACUUGGGCUCGAAGAGCUGGAGCUCGGAGAAGAUGAGGCGCUGAGGGACCACGUGGUAAGGGAACAUGAAGGGGUCGGUGGUCGGCAUGCGGUUCAAGGCGUCGUCUUGAGGGAUGAAGAGGGUCGCGCUCAGAGGAAGGACCAGUGGGUUCACGCCGGUGAUGAUGUUGACCCAGUUCCCGAAGUCGCCGGCUCCGAUUAGAGCGUCGAUUAUGUUGUUGAGUUGUUGGGGUGUGGAGGUUGGGGAUGGCGGAGAUGGAGGUUGCGAUGAUGAUGGCGGCGGAGGAGGUGGCGGUGGCGGUGGUGAUGAUGAUGGUGAUGGCGAUGGGGGUUGAGGGGGUGAUGGUGGUGAGGGAGAGGCUGCAAUGAUGGCUGUGAAGAGAGUGGUGAGAAAGAUGAAGAGCAGAGAAGAAUGGUGGCUGGACGCCAUGGGAGAAAAAGAGAGAAGCUUUGAGAUCUUGGUAGAAUGUUUUCUUCGUUUAUUGUGUUUUGCACUUUGAGAAUCUUUCUGGGUUUGAUGGGUUUGUUAUACUGUUAGAAUAGUGAAGAAAGUAACGAACUUUAGCGCCAAAAUCCCUUUGGAGGAAGACAGAAGGAUAAUGCUUGUAAUUGAAUGAUCAAGACGAGGGUAUUUUGGGGAUGUUUAUUGAUUGGGUUGGGCUGCUUCAGUAAUCAAUCCCAAGCCCAGUAAACCAGAUAAUUGGGCCGAAACCCCAAAACCUUCAUCGUCUUCAUAUAAAUACCCCCAAAUUCGAGCCACUGAAACCCUAGGCCAAAAAUGACGACCAGUUUGAAGAAGAAUCGGAAGAAGAGAGGUCACGUCAGCGCCGGCCACGGCCGAAUCGGGAAGCACAGGAAGCAUCCCGGUGGUCGUGGAAAUGCCGGAGGCAUGCACCACCACCGGAUCUUGUUCGACAAGUACCACCCGGGGUAUUUUGGUAAAGUCGGCAUGCGCUACUUCCACAAGCUCCGCAACAAGUUCUACUGCCCCAUCGUCAACGUCGACAAGCUCUGGUCUUUGGUGCCGCAGGAGGCGAAGGACAAGGCGGCGGCGAACAAAGGAAAUGACGUGCCGUUGAUCGACGUGACGCAGUUUGGGUACUUUAAGGUGUUGGGGAAGGGGGCGUUGCCUCAGAACCAGCCUGUUGUGGUGAAGGCCAAGCUCAUUUCUAAGACCGCUGAGAAGAAGAUUAAGGAAGCUGGUGGCGCUGUUGUUCUCACCGCCUAGGAUUUUAGGGUUUAGAUUUGGGGGUUUUUUUGCUUAUUUUCGGAGAAUUGGGGUUUUGGUAGAUUUUUUCUUCGCCUUUGCUUAAUACAAACAUCAUGUUAUUUUGUGUUAUUGAGCUUCUUGAAUGCUAAAGGUUGAAACUUUUGUUGCAAUGCGUUGCUUUAUUGUCAACAUUAAUAUGAGAAUUUGAUUGCUUUCAAAACUUAAUUGAAAAGUUUUUGGUUGUGCAUUUUAAUUUUUGAUUCAUGGAUAACCUACAAAGCAUUUUUGCAUGGUGUUUUUAAGGCCACAGUGAGCAUUAUUAUAUGAUUCUAUUAUUAUAAAAAACUAGGAGAUUUCUGCCCCCUUUUUGGAUGCAGAGAAAACAAUCCUAAGCAAUUGCCUUUUUCAUCAUAAUUUGAACUAUAUUUGGGGCAUAGGGAUUCAAUCUCUGGAUCAAUUGGAAGAUCCUAUAAUAUUCUGGUUCUGUUUUUUAUCAUCCAAAAUAUUUUGGAGCAUGAAAUGCAAAGAUCAAGAACUGAGAUUACAAAGUGUUCCAAAGAGUGAUGAGUGUUGUUUUUACAUGUUUACAAAACAAGCUCUCUUUCAUUGUAUAUUAAUGUACCAAAAUCAACACAUUAUAAGGUAUAUGGGGCAAUCUAUGUAAGGUCAUCUUCGUCCAGUGGUUCUUGCUCGUCGGAAGCAUGUGUCUUCAGUGCACUCACAUCACCUGUGGGCAGUUUCCUGGCGAGCCUGAUGACCUGCACCCAUUUUAGUUUAUGAUAUGGCAUGGUCAAACAGGGCAGAAUAAAAAAAUCCAAGAUAUUUAUAUUUCAGUCCAAUAUUUUAGGGUUAAUCAAGCAACAGCGUCAACUUGUCUCCUGAGUUUUUCAAUAUGUUAUGUCAUGCCAAAUUCAUGAGACAAAGCCAGAUAAUAAUUUCAGUAUCUUAAGAUUUAAUCUAUUUAAGCAUUCAAUAAUCCGAAAAGCAAAAUCAUGCCCAAGCUCCAUUGUAUAUAAAAGACAGAUUUAACUGAUAACAUGCCUAUAUCUUUUAAUCAUACCUAGGUUAAUACAAAUUCAAAUAAACAAAGGAGGCAAACAAAAUAUAUAAUACCAUGUGAUCAAGAUUAUUAACCGUGCUUGACUGAGAAAGCCGUUUAAUUUCUUCAACGUCACCUUCUGUGUAAGCAGAAAAAAGUUUACUUGCAAAACGGCAUUGAUCACUUCUCGAAAAGGUGUCAACCCUAUACAGAACCAAAAGCAAAAGGCCAAUAUUAGGUGAGUUACAAACAGAGUUGCAGUAGCCCCCUCCAAAUUUGGAAAAUCAGAAGAAUUCAAUAGUUUUACUUACUGGGAGCAAUCAUUGUAGCAUUUUUCUGCUUGUUUGAUGUCAUGAACAUAGAGGUAAACAAUUAUUGCACUAAGAUAUGCCUGUAUCAACAAUGGUUGUAAAAUUACUUCUCUUAAACAUGAAACAUAAAGUGAUUAAAAAGAGUGAGUAAUGCACAAAAGCAAGAUGGACACCAAAAGAUGUUUCCAAAUGCAGAUGCUAGUUAAGAACUUAAGAUUAGUUGCACACAAACAAAAGCACAGAUUCAUUACAAGAGUAAUCAAACAAACAAAGUUUUACAUGUACUUGCACACUAAAAUGAAGGAGUGUGACAAAAUUACUUUUCACAGUGGAAUAGUCUGGACUCGGGGAAUAUGUAAAAGGGCCACAAGGAUGAGAGUUUCUGUAAAACAAGGAUACAAGAAUACAAGAUGACUAAUUAUAAGUUUUCAUGAGAGGAGAAAUGCUAAUUACUACAGAUGCAACCAAAACUAGGCCUCCUUAUCUAAUGCAGCCACAGGGAAAUGAAAGGGGAAGGGAUAGAAAAUACAUAAUACUAGUUGUAAGUUCUUUGUUUGAAGAUGCUCUUGCUCAAAAAGAGAAAAAAAUAUAGAGUGAAUUUUCAUGCUUAGUACCUCAUGUAGCACAGGCACUUCAACAAGGAAACCAUUUCAAUGUUGUCUUCAUAUCAAAUACCAAUACCUCUACACUAGUCCAGGAUAAUAUAUCUCAUUAAAUACAUCCAACAAGAAAUCCUUUCACACCUUGCAUUGGCUAUUGGUAGCAUUACACUUAUCAGCUGCUAAGCCCCAUCUCAACAGAAAAGCAGCAGCAUCUGUGUACCUGUAAGAACCGCUCGAAGGGUAUGAUUAAACAUAUAGCGAAAAGCCACUCAAAGGCACACAAUUUAGUAUUUACUGGGGAAAAAAAAUGACCAUUUUCAAACAGCAAAUCACUACUCUUUUCUAAUAGAUUUUAAACCUCAACCCAUUCCAAAACAUUAGCCUCAAUUAAGCCAUAAGGAAUAACAGUUAAUUGCCUGAUUAUAAAUGCUGCCAGAAAACAGCUACAACUGGAUUCUACACAAUCAGAUCUGUUUGCCUAAAUAAUGUAUUUCAUCCUCUCAAUCCACUAAAUGGAUAAUAAUCAUAAUUUGCAUCAUCCUCCCAAUAACUAAAAUGAUAAAUUGCCAUAAUUUAAAUAACAUAUGGGAUGCAUUUUGGGAUCUUACUUCUCAAGUUUUAUAUAAACACUAGUGGCAGCACGAUAUAGAUCAAAGGCCAUUUGAUCCUUGUCAUCAUCUUCAAGAAGAACACAAGCAUCAGUGUAAAGUUGAAUAGCUUCAUCAGGAACAGAAUCUUCCAGAGCUCUGUAAUAAGGUUAUCAUUUCAAAAGGUUAGCAUUUCAAAUAUUCUCUAAAGCUGUAAUCCCACCUCAAGCAUAUACAGACUAAAAUAGCAACUAAAAAAAACAACAUAUGGAAAGAGGAAAAGAAAAGAAGAGAAACAGUUUCAUUUCACACUGGAAACUCUCAACUGAUCAAAAUUUUUACUAGCAAAGAAAAGUUCAGGUAACGUCCUCUACAUGUGUGUGUAGUUUCGUAAAACAAAAUUGUAAACUCUUUUAUGAGAAAAAUAAGACAACAAAGCUAAUUGCAGGUAAAUUAUGGUUAACAGUUUAAUAAUUAGCAACUUCAUUCCAUUUGCCCAACUCCAUGCAUGUGGAUGACCAAUUCAAUUAAUUGCAGGUAAAUUAAUACUUUUGAAUAUUUCAUAACAUUUGAAGAUUAAAAACCAUCGUUUAGAUUGAGCCGUUGAAAAUAAUGGGUAGAAUUUUAUGAAAUUCUUCACAUGAAACACUUUAUAUUGCUUACUGCAAAUAUGGGUGAAUUUAUUAACCCAAACAGGAAUGUAUUUUUCAUGGGAGCCCUGGGAACUGACAAGAAUUUUGAUCAUGUGAAUGCCAAGAGAGUUUCACCAAACAUUGCAACUUUUAAGAAGGAAAAAAAAAGAUUCGUAGCUGCAAAAAGCAAUAGGGUGAACCCUGUGCUUACCGGGCCCCUUUCGCAAGAGCAUCUGAUGCAGGUUGUGAUCUCCCACACACAACGUACAAUUCAGAUGCCCUUCUAUAGAAAUCAGCAACUUCAUUCCAUUUUCCCAACUCCUUUGCUAAAGCAGCAGCUGACUCCAUAUGCUUUGCAGCAUCCCAGGGUCUGAGUUGGUUGUAAAGGAUAUAGCAAGAGUGCAGUUAUCGAGAUCAUCAGACAAAAUUAGACAACGCCUGAAGGACAGAACAUACUAGAAAAAGAGAAUGAGGAUACGAAGAGAUCAAUUCUUGUCCUUUUGAUGCUUUUUCCAAUGCUUCCUUUGCUUUCUCAUAAUCCUUGGCAAUCCUAAACCCAUUAGCUACAACAAAACCAGAUUUUAGGCCGAAAUCCCCAUCAACCAUUGUAAUUAAGGCUUACAGUUGCACAGAACAUACAUACCAGCUUGUUCAUACAGAAGAGUAGCGCUUUUCCAAUCUGCACUCCACCUUGUAAGACUGAGCCUCGUUCUAAGAUAACAGAAAUUAAAGGCAUUCAGUAAUUCAGAAGAGGAAAGUAAUCAAAUUUUAUUACUUUCAAAAAGAAAAGACAAAGCUUGACUUCUUCUUCUCUUCCCAAUGAACAAACAAACAAAGCUUAAGCAAAAUCAAAAUGUCGGUUACAGAAUUCCAUAAUUUAUUCAUCACUCAAUUCUUAGUAUGCUCUUCUAGAGUUAGUAUACCAACUUCAUAUGCAGAUUACUGAAAGAUUCAAAAUUUAUACAACUUCAUCCAAUUUCACACUGACCCAGAAAACAAAAAUUGAAGAAAAUGAAUGCUCUUUUUCAUUCUACCAAUCAAUUACUACCAUAACUAAUCGAAAUCAUUGGAAAAUGUUUCUAUGUGUUAAGAAUUAACUGACAAACUUUGGAUCUUCUAAACUGAAUCAAAUGCAUAGACUUUCAUAAUAAUACCAUAUAUGUUUAUAAAUAAAUGAUUGGAUGUGAAAAGAGAUACUGACAAUUUAUCGGCUUUGGCCAUCAACUUGUUUGGAUCGGAACCCGCCAUGGCUGAACUUUGGGUGUAAGCUUUCUUCUCUUCUAGUUUUACAGCGCAGUUUGAUUGGCCUUUUGGGCUGUUUUAGGCCUUCGUUUCCUUUAAGCUCGCUGCAAUAGCCAAUCUGCCUCCGUUUAUAUUUUUACUUUACAAUUUUACUUUUAUUUAUUUUAUCUUUUUACCUUUUCAAGCUUAAAAAACAUGCAAAGAAAUUAUUUUAUUUUAUUUUUAAUUUAAAGAAAGAUCCUAUUUUUUUUUUAAAAAAAUUCUGAAUAAGAAUUUGUGAGUAUUUUGUAAUGUAUAGGAUAGAGAUUAAUUAUUUGAAAUGUAUUUUGCCUUUUAUCAACAAUUCUUUUUUUAGUGGAGCUUAUCUAACUUCAAAUUCACCCCUAAUUUAAACUGCAAACAUGUUGAGAUUUUUAGGCUGCAUGCUAUUGUCUUCAAUUUUUGUUUAUGAUAUAGGGUUAUUUAUGUUUUCAAACAUUUAGCUUUUAGUGGUUUUUUAGGACAUUCAUCAUUGUGGGAACCUAAUUAAAUCAAAAACCUAUGUCAAAUAAUUCCUUCCAUUUGGGGAUUAUUUGACCUAAUUGGGAAUUAUUCAAUUUAAUUGGGGAUUACUCAAUUAAAUAGAAUAUUACCUAAUCGGGUCGAGAAUUAAUUUUAUUCCUACCCCAAUUCCCAAUUAAAUGAGGAGUUGCCUAAUUGAAUCAGGAUUUGAUUUGAUACCUACCACAAUUAGGGAUUUGAUUUACCCUAAUUAAUCAAAUCAAUUCCAAAAAGGGGAGGAAUAAUUCCCUUCCAUCUACGGAAUUAUUCCUCUGAAACCCUAGCCUCCGAGACUACUAUAAAAGCAUAGCCACACACAAUGGUUGAGGUACGCCUAAAUUCUUACUAAAGCUCUGCAGAAAUUAUCUCUCAAAAACCCUAGCCACCUCCUCUCUUUCUCUGUCUUACACAAGGCUCCGGCCACCACACACGGCUCCGGCCACCCGGUUUUCCUUGAAUUACCUUACCUAACUUAGGCAUCGGAGGGCCUUUGGCCAACACCCCUCGGGUGUGGUCCUUUUACUCCGAUCUGUUUUGCAGGGAGAAAGAGAGGCGGAGAAGACGAAGGAAUCUUGGGCGAAUAUUCUCCCGUGAGAUUAUUUGCACAAAUAAAUUGGUGCUUUCAUUGAGAGCACGAGAUAUAUUCAAAGCGUGCUCCAAAUCCAUCUUUCACACAUUUUUUCAAACAACCAUGGUUGAUACAAGACGUACGAAGAGUAACGCCACCACGAUGGGCCCAUCUCAUGGUUUCGUGGUGGAAACCUCAAUGCAACCGCACGGAAUCGUGGCUGCCAACACCUUGCAGUCGUCCUCUAGUGCUUUGCAGCCGCCUUCAGCUGCUGGAAUUGCAGAACAGCCGCCACAAGACCCUGGGACCUCCACAGCCUUGCAGUUGCCAGUGCCGAUUACCGGAGCUACUCUGCCUCGCUGUCCUGCCGUCGGAUCACAGCAGCAGCCACACCACUCAACUACCGGAUUUGCUGCUCAGCCCCAUGGCUACUCCGACGUCAUCCCAGUCUUGGAGCAGAUCCAUUCUCUCCCUCCUUUGCGAUCACACUCGACAUAUGCACCUGUGUACGCAUCUAAUGGAGCCCUAGCCCAUUUGUCGUUGGGCCCGAUGCACAGCACUCUACUUGACCCGCGCAGUCAGGUGGACCUUAACUCACGGGUCGAUCAACUCACACAGAAGGUCGAUGAUCAGAACAACCUGAUUGGCCAGCUACUCAGGCAGAUCAACUUGAAUCAAGGCCCUAACCUUGGACCCCGUGACGAGGAGAUGAGGGCACACCAGCAUGUCGGCGAGCAGUUCGAGAGGUCCUAAGCUGGUCAGACAAGGGCAAACCGGCAGAGGAGAGAUCGAGAUCGAGAUCGAGUAGAUGAGACGCAGACAGCCGCGAGCCGUACUCUGAGCCGUUCGGGGCUAGAACCAAGGACCAAUGUGCUCGAGAGGCUAGGCCCACAGACUAAUGUCCACGCCCGCUUAGGCCCACAAUCCAAUGUCCACGCCCGCUUGGGCCCACAAAGAGCUUGAGUUCGUGAGCAGUCGCGUGAUGAACGCAACGACCGACGCCCACCAACCCGCUCGAGGGCCAACACGCGACGGCAAGCUGUAGAGGGAUCAUUCCAAGCCCAAUCUCCUAAUCUGCCCCACGGGCAGGGCACCCAAGGGGAUCGACCCUUGGGAACCGAGGAAGGAGUUAGCCAGUCACGCUCGAGACACCAAAGACGUCGACCUGAGCGACCCUCCUUGCGGGUAGAAGAUGAUGAUCGACGCCCACCAACCUGCUCGAGGACCAACACAUGGCGACAAGAUGUAGAGGAAUCCUCCCAAGCUCAAUCUUCUAAUCUGCCCCACGGGCAGAACACCCAAGGGGAUAGACCCUUGGGAACCGAGGAAGAAGUUAGCCGGUCGCGCUCGAGGCACCGAAGACGCCGGCCCGAGACUCCAGUCCUGCGAGCAGAGGACGUCGAGAAGCUAGUAAAUGACCGACUCCAAGCUCUCCAACUUAAAGGAAGCGCGGAGGAGGCCCUGCAUAAGGAAAUUGAUCGAGUUGACUGCUCGCCCUUUACCGACAAAGUGGAACGAGCUCCUCCACCGAAGCGGUUCACAACGCCAUCCAUCACUCCAUUCAAGGGGAACUCUGACCCUGAGAGCCAUUUGAGGCACUUCAAGAGCGCCAUGAUCCUGUACAAGGUAGAUGAUGCCCUGAUGUGCAAAGUGUUCGUGAUGACCCUGCGAAGAGCAGCUCAAGACUGGUUCCACACUCUACCGUCCACGUCGAUAGGAAACUUCAAGGAGUUGGCCUUCAUCUUCACAAAGGAGUACACCUCCUACAAGACGGUCAGAAAGCAUGCAGACCAUCUGUUCAACCUGCGCAAGAAGCCAGACGAGUCUCUACGAGACUACCUGAGACGGUUUAAGGCUGAAAAGGCUAACAUCAUAGGAUGCAAUGACCAAGUUGCAUCCUCAGCUUUCAAGAAGGGCUUGCCAACGGAGCACGAGCUAUACCGAGAACUGGCCAUAACACCAAGUCAAACCUUGGCAGAAGUGUUCGCGACGGCAGAACGCUACGCACUUUGGGACGAUGAUCGAAUCGCCGCAAAGAAAGCCAGCAAGCAAGUUGAUCACCCGACGAAGCAGGCAAGCCAAAAGAGCAAUCAGUUCGAGCAAAAAGCCCGAGAUAAGCGCAGAUCGCGGCCCCGAGAGGGAAGCUCAGAAAUUGAGACCUUCACUGAGUUCGCUAUCCCAAUUCAUCAGAUCCUGGCUCAAGUGAAGGACAAGCCUUGGGUGAGGAGACCGCCACCCAUGAAAGGAGACCCCUCUAAGAGGAACACCAGUAAAUACUGCGCAUUCCACGGGGAGCACGGUCAUUACACCAACAAUUGCAAUGCCUGGAAAAGGCAUCUGGAGGAGCUGGUCAUAGAAGGUCAUUGCACAGAAUUCGUCGCAAAGAAGGCCAUCCAACAGAUCGAGGAUCGUGAUGCGGCUGCCAAGGAACCUCCCCAAAAGGUCAUUCGAAUCAACACCAUUCUAGCUGACUCUUAGGAGUCCGGGUUGACCACUAGGGAGCGCAAGAGGAAGAUCGCGCAGGCGACUUAUGUCUCCCAAGUCACAACAGGAGUACCCGUUAUCGUGGAUACACCCAUCAUUGGUUUCCAAAAGAAAGACUUGAUCGGGCUUGACCUGCCGCAUAAUGACGCCCUAGUCAUCUGCAUUCAGAUUGAACAAGCUGUGAUCGAGCGAGUUCAUGUGGAUGAGGGCAGCGCAGCCAACAUCCUGCAACUAUCUGUCAUCCAACAGAUGGGAUUGGAGCCCAAGAUUAGCAAGCUUGCAAGGUCGCUCAUUGGCUUCAAUGGGGCCACAUCAAUCACUGUUGGACUAAUCGACCUUGACGUCCACUCACCCCCAGUAGUCUGCUCGCAAACCUUCAUGGUCAUCGACGAGAUCUCCCCGUACAACGGAAUCCUGGGCCGACCGUGGAUCAGCAAGAUCGAGGCUAUCACAUUUGCUCUACACCAGAAGAUUCGCUACCCCAUCCCAGGAGGCAGAAUCGGGCAGAUCAAUAGUGACCAAGCCAUGGCAAGAAGAUGCACAGCUCACGGACUCAAGAAGAGCAAGCAGAUGCAGUUCACCCCAGUAAUGCAAGCUGCCAACGAGGGACGAAGCUCUCCCAGCGGACAAGCAAGCUCGAACGAGAAGGGAGCUAUUACCCCACAAUAGCAAUUAAUGAGCCAGGAUCAAGGCGAGGGAAUCCGCCCGGAAGACUCCCCUGAAAAGGGUUGGAAGUCUGAGGAUGACGUUGAGUUAGUACCCCCUGAUCUUGGCCAGCCAGACAAAGAAGCGCAGAUCGGCUCGCGCCAGAAUCCAAACAAGAAGGAUCGAGAGGAGGGAAUUCGCCCGGAAGGCUCCCUUAAAGAAGGUUGGAAGCCUGAGGAAGACGUUGAGUUGGUACCCCUCGAUCCUAACCAGCCAGACAAGAAAGCGCGGAUCGGCUCGCGCCUAAGCCCAGACGAGAAGGUGGAGCUUACCACCUUCCUCCAAAACAACAAAGACAUGUUCGCGUGGUCACCAUCUGACAUGCCCGGCAUCGACCCAAACAUCAUCUGCCACCGCCUCCAUGUCAACCCUGCCAGCAAGCCCGUGGUGCAGAAGAGACGUAACUUCGCUCCCGAGCGAGUCGCGAUCAUUGAAGCCGAGAUUGACAAGCUUCUAGCCGCUGGAUUUAUUGAAGAGGUCUCCUACUCAGAAUGGCUGGCCAACGUUGUUCUGGUGGCAAAACAAGAAAAGGGCAAAUGAAGGGUGUGCGUCGAUUACACCGACCUCAACAAAGCAUGCCCUAAAGACAACUUCCCAUUGCCAAGGAUCGACCAGUUCGUGGAUUCGACUUCCGGCAACCAGCUGCUCAGCUUCAUGGAUGCAUACUCUGGCUAUAAUCAAAUUAUGAUGUACGACGAUGACAAGGCGAAGACCUCUUUCAUCAUCGAGAGAGGGACCUACUGCUACAAGGUCAUGCCCUUUGGGUUGAAGAACGCUGGAGCAACCUAUCAAAGGCUCGUGAAUAAGAUUUUCAAGGAGCAGAUCGGUAGAACCAUGGAAGUCUACGUGGAUGAUAUGCUGGUCAAAGCCCCCAAGCGUGGAGACCACCUCAAAAACCUCGCCGAGGCAUUCAGCUUGCUCCGCCAAUACCGCAUGAAGCUGAAUCCAAGUAAAUGCACGUUCGGUGUAUCAUCUGGCAGAUUCUUGGGAUACUUAGUCACACAACGAGGUAUAGAGGCACAUCCACGCCAAAUUAAAGCUAUUCUCGAGAUGAAGUCACCUUCCACAGUGAAGGAAAUACAAAGUCUGACGGGCAGAGCAGCAGCCCUCAACCGAUUCCUCUCGAAGUCUACCGACAAGUGCAGACCAUUCUUCAAAGCUUUGAAGAAAGGGCAAAAAGACAAGUGGGACGAGGAGUGCGAAGUAGCUUUCCAGAGUCUAAAGACCUACCUUACUUCACCUCCCCUGCUCUCGAAGCCAGUUCCUGGUGAAGACUUGUUCGUGUACCUGGCAGUGUCCAACUCGACCGUCAGCUCUGCUCUCAUCCGAGAAGAACUUGGGGCCCAACAUCCGAUAUUCUAUACGUCAAAAGCUCUCCUCGAUGCAGAGACUCGCUACCCAAAAUUGGAGAAGCUCAUUUUGGCCCUUGUCGUUUCUACGAGAAAGCUGCGACCUUAUUACCAAGCUCACCGAGUCGUCGUUAUGACUGACUUUCCUUUGAGAUCAAUCCUCCACAGCCCUUAUGCUUCUCAGCGGCUCAUGAAGUGGGCAAUAGAGCUAAGCCAAUACGACCUCCUCUACCGGCCAAAGACUGCGAUAAAAGCCCAAGCCUUAACAGACUUUGUUGCAGAGUUCACACCAUCAACCGAAGAAGAGAAGCUGGUCAGCAAAAAGAAGGAAAGUUCGAGAGCAAACAAGACCUCCGCGGAACCUGACCAACCCAGAGACAUGUGGCAGCUACGCGUAGAUGGAGCGUCAAACCAGAAAGGAGCUGGAGCAGGCGUCGUCAUUGUCACCCCUGAUGGAACCCUGUUAGAGCAAGCUAUCACACUUGGCUUCCCGGCUUCAAAUAACGAGGCAGAGUACGAGGCAUUGCUCGCUGGCUUGCACUUGGCAAAGGAGCUAUCAAUUAAGAAGCUGGCCAUCUAUUCGGAUUCCCAGCUGAUUACAAGUCAAGCCUCAGGAGAGUACAUGGCAAAACACCCAAGGAUGAUCUUGUACCUUGACAAAGUCCAAGAGCUGUUGGAAGGCGUUUCCCACCUUCACCAUCCAGCAGGUGCCCCGAGCAGAGAACACGCACGCGGAUGCACUGGCAAGCUUAGGAUCAACACUGGAUACCCAGUUCAGACGCUCCAUCCCAGUCGAGCACCUUGACCAGCCUAGCAUAGAAGAGGCAGAACGACUGGACCUAAUGCAGAUCGACGAGGAUCCUAGCUGGCAAGAACCCAUAAUUGACUACCUAGUGAAUGAAAACUUGCCCGAUGACAAGUCCGAGGCCAGGAAAAUCAAGCAGAAGGCUGCAAGAUAUUACAUGAAAGGCGACACGCUUAUCCGUAGAUCAUACUACGGGCCUCAUCUCACUUGCAUCAAGUACCCGCAAACGCUCGAGGUUCUCUGUAAAAUACACGACGACGAGUGUGGAAAUCACGCUGGAGGCAGGUCGCUUGCUCAGAAGGCUCUUAGCAUUGGCUAUUUCUGGCCUACCAUGCGCAAAGACUCUACGGAGUAUGCUCGAAGAUGUGAUCGAUGCCAACGAUAAAAGCCAAUCCCUGGCUUGCCAGCUGAGGAAUACCAUCCACAGAACAGUCCAUGGCCGUUCAUGCAGUGGGCCAUUGACUUGGUGGGACCUAUGCCGACAGCACCUGCCAAUAAGGAGAUGAUGAUCGUUGCCACUGAUUACUUCACUAAAUGGAUCGAGGCCGAGGCUUUAUCUUCUACCAAGGAAGCUGACGUUGAACGAUUCAUCUGGAAGAACAUCAUUUGCAGAUUCGGUUGCCCGCAAUCGAUAGUUACCGACAAUGGUACGCAGUUCGUGGGCAGGCAGAUCACUGCAUUCCUUGCGAAGUAUGACAUCAAGCAACACCUGUCAACCCCCAGAUACCCGCAAGGCAAUGGCCAAGCAGAGGCAUCCAACAAGAUCGUGCUGGACUGCCUAAAGAAAAGACUGGAAGGCGCAGAAGGAAAAUGGGUUGACGAGCUGCCAGAAGUUCUAUGGGCUUAUCGCAUAACCAAAAGGAGAUCGACCGGAGAGACACCGUUUUCCUUGCCCUAUGGGACGGAGGCAAUCAUUCCCCCACACCUCACAGUCCCUUCUAUGAGCAUUGAGGUGGGCAGUCUUGACCAAAACUGCAGGCAGAUGAGAAUCAACCUUGACCUGCUCGAAGAAGAACGAGAAAAGGCCAUUGUUCGAGUUGCCGCCUACCAGCAGCAGUUGACAUCCUACUACAAUAAGAAGGCCAAGAUCAGACAGUUUCGCCCUGGAGACCUUGUGCUCAGAAAAACUUUCAUCACAUCAUCGAGGCAAGGGUCAAAGAAGAUGAAGCCAAAUUGGGAAGGCCUCUACAUGAUCAGCCGAUCUGGGGGCAGAGGAAGCUACACCCUCGACACUCUAGAAGGGAAGGAAAUUCCAAGACAAUGGAAUGCCCACCACCUUCGGAGAUACUAUCCGUGAAGCUCUUCGCUUACCAGCUCGACUCCUAGCAGGCGACAAGCCUUACCUCCAUUGCGAACAAGCUGAUCCCCGGAGCACAAACUCAAUGAAGUCUUUUUCAAGCGCUAUGUCCCCGACAUACGCAUACAGGCGACAAGCCUUACCUCCAUUCCAGACAAGCUGCUCCCCGGAGCACAAACUCAAUGGAGUCUUUUUCAAGCGCUAUGUCCCCGACAUACGCAUACAGGCGACAAGCCUUACCUCCAUUGCAGACAAGCUGCUCCCCGGAGCACAAACUCAAUGGAGUCUUUUUCAAGCGUUAUGUCCCCGACAUACACACAUAGGCGACGAGCCUUAUCUCCAUUGUAGGCAAGCUACUUCACAAGUACAAAUUCAAUGGAGUCUCUUUCAAGUGCUAUGUCUCCGGACACACACUUACAAGAUACAAUGAGAAUUGAAGUUCGAAAGGCAACUGAAAAUUCCAUAACAAAGCGGCCAAUCAGCCAAGUUCAACAAGAAGUAAGAUGGUCAACCAAAGACCACUUAUUGAAAGAAAAUAACAAAGUUCAAAAAUAGCAAAAAUGAACUACAACUACUAGGGAACUUCAGCAGGUGACCCUUAGCCGAUCACAUCCUCAACUGCACUGGCAACAGCCUCAUUCUGCCCAACCGGCACAACUUGCUUAACCGCCUCGGCUGCCUGCUCCUUCGCAUCCGCCUUAGCCUCAUCAGCUGACCCACCUUGACGUUUGUCUUCCUCAAUUGCAGCUUCAUCUGCUAUCUGCUCUUCAACUGCUUCUGCAUCCACAACAUCCACUUGCUCACUCUGAGCGGGGGGUAGGUCAAGACCAGACUGCUCACCGUCAUCAUCUUCGAGAGGGCAGCAAGGAGAAGCACCAUUCUGGCAAUCCAGGUAUCCCAGCUUGUACGCAUUAGCAGCCAUCUCUUUCUUGGAUGCCUCCGUGGCUUCCACAUGGGUAUCAAACUUGACCAGCAGUUUGUCACGAUCCUGGGCCAAAGUAGCAUGCUUACGUUCGAGGCAGAAGUAGGCUUCCUUGCGUUCGAGCAGGGCAGCCAUAAGAGACUUGAGUUCACCAUCCUUUUGGCCAACAGAACUUUUGAGCACGGACAUACUCUCCUUCAUCUCGGAAAUCCUCGCAUCGUGGCGAAUCCGCUCGUUCGAGAGCUUGUCAGUCAGGUCGGCAUUCUUCUUCACCAGCUCGUCGAGCAGGGCAGAAGAGGGGGCAACAUCACGCGAGUUCCGCAUGGCCCCAACAGCAAAAACCAUUCCUUUUUGAAGGUGAUACAUGGCAGCUUCUUCUUGCUUAUCCAAGGGAAGGCUCGAGAAAGCACAAAUGUCACCAGCUCGAUACAAUUGAUCAACUAGCUUAGCACAAGCAGAUGGACUUGACAGAAAGCCUGUUUUCAGCAGAUCAGACACGGGCUCGCCCCCAGCAGAGCUAUCACCAGUUCCCGGACCGGCAGUUCGUGCAAUUGGAGGACUCUUCGCUUGAGCAGACGACUCUUUAGCUCUUUUGGCUGCAACUUGCAACAUUGAGUCAGCCCUGCGCUUGACUGUUCGUGGCCCCACAGAUGAGUCGUGGUUGCUAGGCAGAGGUACAGUCCUCUCAGCUUGAUUCCCAGAUUGGCACGGACGACCCAAACCUUGCUUCCCAGCGGCUUCCUUGCAUGGCAGAUCACGGGUCUUAGGCAGUACGGGCAAAGUCUUGAGCAGAACUUCCCGAACCUCUUGCAUGUCGUUAGCCUUCUUGCUGUUCGUGCUGACGAAGCGUUUGUUCCAUGCAGACGAGGCAUGAGCAACUCCCAUAUGGGCCUUUUGAGGAGGCGAGGCCUCCCUUGUAGAAGACUUGUUCGUGGCAAGAGAAGAUCUCGGUUGCCUUCGCUGUGGAGACGUAUCCACUGAUCGUGAAACUGCAGCUUCAUCUCGAGCAGAGCUACUGCACGCUUUCCCACCAUCGGGGGACUCAGUCGAUGACUCCUCCCGCAUAACUGGCAAGUCACUUAGCUCUAAGCAGCUCGACUUCCGCCUUUCAAUAUCUUCAGCAGAGGGCAGGCCACCGACUUCCUUCCGAUGUUCGCUCAGCAGCCAGCGCCAUUCACGAAACUUGGCGGGGAUGCUCAAAGCUUGUCGAACCUUCGUCAUGUCCGGGUCGAGAACGAGCUUUUUUCGGAUGGCAUCAUCUGCAAGCAUGAGACAAAAGUUAGUUAGACACAGCAAAGAAUUCCAUGGCAACAGUAGCAGAUCAGAAGGAUGCGACUUACCAUCGCAGUAGGUGAGAGGAACGAGCGGACCGUCGCCAAACUCCCCUUCCCAUCUGCCGCUAACCUCCAGCACAUCCUUGCUCCGCACAUGAUCGCCUUGACUCAUACUGAUCCUAGUUCGUGGCACAAAAAGAAGAAGGAAUUGAAGCAAUUUGGAUUAGCCACAAAAAAGAUGACCCAAACUGCUACCUACUCCAGCAGCAGAUCGCGCACCUCCAGCCUAGUUACAGCUGGACAGCCCGAGUAAAAAGCCUCAUCCACGCAGGAGCCCAAUUCAAAUAAGGAAGCCCAGUUGCAGUUGGAUGGCCCAACGGUUAAUCCACAUCUCCUACAUGCCGUCACACGCCACGCAAAAGCUGGGGGGGCAUUUGUGGGAACCUAAUUAAAUCAAAACCCUAUGUCAAAUAAUUCCUUCCAUUUGGGGAUUAUUUGACCUAAUUGGGAAUUAUUCAAUUUAAUUGGGGAUUACCCAAUUAAAUAGAAUAUUACCUAAUCGGGCCGAGAAUUAAUUUUAUUCCUACCCCAAUUCCCAAUUAAAUGAGGAGUUGCCUAAUUGAAUCAGGAUUUGAUUUGAUACCUACCACAAUUAGGGAUUUGAUUUACCCUAAUUAAUCAAAUCCCUAAUUAAUCAAAUCAAUUCCAAAAAGGGGAGGAAUAAUUCCCUUCCAUCUACGGAAUUAUUCCUCUGAAACCCUAGCCUCCGAGACUACUAUAAAAGCAUAGCCACACACAAUGGUUGAGGUACGCCUAAAUUCUUACUAAAGCUCUGCAGAAAUUAUCUCUCAAAAACCCUAGUCACCUCCUCUCUUUCUCUGUCUUACACAAGGCUCCGGCCACCACACACGGCUCCGGCCACCCGGUUUUCCUUGAAUUACCCUACCUAACUUAGGCAUCGGAGGGCCUUUGGCCAACACCUCCCGGGUGUGGUCCUUUUACUCCGAUCUGUUUUGCAGGGAGAAAGAGAGGCGGAGAAGACGAAGGAAUCUUGGGCGAAUAUUCUCUCAUAAGAUUAUUUGCACAAACAAUCAUGAUCAAUAUGGCAAUGUCUACGCUACUCCUGCUUUGCAACUGAUAUGCUUGAUGUUUUUUUUCUUCUAAUUUGCUUUAUUAUUAAAAGGCUAAUAGUCUAGUAAGGUUAUAAACUUCAAAGCGAAGCACAUUUUUUGCUUGUUGAAAAGUCCCAAAUUUGGAACCAACUAGUCGCGACUUGGUUGAAGAAGAUUUCAAGUUUGAUUUACAUGAAUUGUGAUGGUGUAGCUUUGUUGUGGUUCAUUACCGGCUGUAAAAGUAUGUUAUAAAACCACAAUUGACUCUGCAAUCUACCUAGCCCACUCCAGUAAAACUCAAUGCAAGAGUGCCAGUUCCUAUUAUCUCUGGUGUGAAAGUCAAAAACAAAACUCUGUGCAUGACUCAAGUAUUAGGUUGAAGGUAGAAGUAGCAUGAAAGCCAUGAACACACCAAACUACAACUCACUCUCUCUGUUCUGCCCUUAUAUUAAAAGCCCCAGCCUCCAAUCACCAUCAAUAUCACUAACCUUUUCUUCCACCAUCGGUCACAUUUUUUUCUGUUGAUCUUAAUAUGGCCUUCUCUAAUCUCACUACUUUCUUGUACUUGCUCUUCCUUGGUCCACUACUUUUCAGCUUUCAUUUAUGCUUGGCGUCUCGCCUCAUGAUGGAGCUAAAGAAGCCAUCAACGACCAUGCAAUUGGGAUCUGACCCUUCAUCACCCUUCAGCAACCUAAUGAAGCCAACAUUGCCAUUUUUCCAAGAUCUUCCAAACCCAGUUGAAAACAUGAACACAUUGCUCCCAUUUCCUGGCUUUCCAACCAUUCCCAAGAUUCCUCCAAUACCCAAAUUCCCAUUUAUCCCAACCAUGCCUUCAGUUAAUCCUUUUCUUCCUCAACCACCAGUUCCUAAGAAUUCAGAGUCUAUGAUUUCAAGAAAUGAGGCCAAAGCCUCCCCAUGAAGUGCCCUUUUGUUAGCUUAGCUCAUGCUGUUGUCUCAAAUAGCUAGCAGUCUGUUUUUAUUGAUGAUGUUUAGCUUUCAUCAUGUUGCUGGUAGCCAUUGUAACAAUAACAAAUACAGUCAUGAUCUUUUUAGCUGUUUUCAUUCAGUCAUUGUUCCUCAAUCACUCAUAUGAAUUACUACAAGUUGACAUAAGAAAAAGUUAUCUUUUAACUACUUGGCUACAACUGAUCUGAAAGGUAUAAUUGUGUACUUGGAAGGAAUAAUGCAAAAGUUGCAAGGCUAAUUGGAUGGGGGAAAUACUUUUCAAUAUUAAUUCAUUGCAAAUUUAACAUA